AUGAAGUUUGCUGCCCAACUGCAUGUGGAUGUUGUUGAAAAUGGAUCAAGGUUUGAGGUUUACAAGUCGAGCAUGCUUGCGGAAAAAGAUUUCAGGACACGAUGUUACCUUGUACUAGCAAACCUGAAGCAAGAAGAAUUUGCUUGCAUCUGUGGGAAGUUUCAAAAUGAUGGCAUUGUGUGUGCACACAUACUGCGUGUGCUUGUCAACCUGAACAUGGCCGUCCUACCAGACAAGUAUUAUAUUCAGAGAUGGAAACCAAAAGACAGAAAAUAUGUAAGAGACAAGCAGUUCAAUGUUCCCAUGGAACUGACUGAGGCAAGCAGACCUUUGAGAUAUUCACAGCUAUCAACAAUUCUCAAUGAGAUGGCUUCCGAUGGGGCAAGAACGAAUCAAAAGUACUUGUAUGUUGUGAACGAAAGUGAGAGAAUAUUUGCUGGGCUUGAUGAGAUGACCAAGGCAGAUGAGUUGAGGGAGCUUCAGGCAAGAGGAGUUGCUGUGGAAAAAGAACCUCCAAUACAAAUGCAAGUACCCCACCCUGAUGGCUAUGACAACCUACAAGACCCAGAUGUUGUUGUAUCUAAAGGUCGACCAAAAAGUCGUUAUCUAACAGCUAGGGAGAAGUUCCUCGCAAAAAAACAAAGUAAAUGCAGCCACUGCAGGAGCCAAGACCAUAAUAUUGCUACUUGUCACAAUCUGCAUAUUGAUAAGUCUGAGUUUGAGAAGAAGAAACCAGCAACAAAAAAACCUACAGGUCCUUCUGAUUCAUCAACUAGCAAACAGAAUGGAGCUAAGCGUCAACGAAGGAAGGCGCCUGCCACACAGGUUGAAGGAGUGCUGUAG
rnacentral:rRNA from 1 species